CCCAACUGGGCAGAGGGAUCCUCCUCCUCUCCUCACCGGUGCUUCUUUCUGCUUGCUCCUGAAGAGUUGAAGUACUCGGUGGAACUGGAAGCUCACAGCUUUGAGGUACCAAAAGCAAACGGGUUUCAGUUCUUUGAAUGACGCACAGAAGCACUGCCAUGGGCUGUUGUAUUAAUUCUACCCCAGAUAUUGCUCAAAUGGAAACUCACACCGGUGGGACACGUUGUGUGGAAAAUAAGAACGCUAAAGCAUUUUUUUAUUGGUUUAAAAACCUAAAAUCCUUCCUUGCUGGACAGUACUGCGCAUGCUUCGCACACACAUCAAACCCUGCGUGUGCAGGACGUUGGUACACCACCACAAGGCUGUGCCAAUACACUUAAAAGAUCUGCUCAUCAGAAGACGAGUGAACGGUGGAUGCCAGGGAAACGGACACUGCGCAGUUGUGCGGCCUCCGGUGAGGCACCUCCAGCCCGCGGUCGUGGUGCUCUCCCUAGGAGAGCUCUGGCCCGAGGCUCCGCCGCUCCCUCCCCACCACUACCGCUCGGUUCUCCGCCUAAGAGGGGCUUCAGAAGCUAAGCCGAGAGACGCCACCGGGGUCCCCGCGCAGAGCCCGCCCCAGCACCAGCCGCCAGCGACGCGCGGGACCCCACGCGCAGGCGCCUCGCCCCUCCCCCACCGGCCUCGCGGACGCGGGGGACGGACGGGGGAGGGGCAGAGCCCGGCACAUCCCUCCCCCGCCUGCGGGCGCCUGCAGCAGUCCAAAGGGAUCGAGCUGCCAGCUGCCCCCGAGCGCCAGGGCGGCCGCUGUGCCUCGUCCUGCCCUUCCCCGUAAGGGGACGGGACAAGACGCCUCGCUGCGGACGCGCCCCAGCCCACGGGGAGCCCACUGACCUGAGGC